rnacentral:misc_RNA from 1 species
GAUGAAGAACGUAGCGAAAUGCGAUAAGUAGUGUGAAUUGCAGAAUUCAGUGAAUCAUCGAAUCUUUGAACGCACAUUGCGCCCCCUGGUAUUCCGGGGGGCAUGCCUGUCCGAGCGUCAUUGCUGCCCUCAAGCACGGCUUGUGUGUUGGGCCUCCGUCCUCCUCCCGGGGGACGGGCCCGAAAGGCAGCGGCGGCACCGCGUCCGGUCCUCGAGCGUAUGGGGCUUCGUCACCCGCUCUUGUAGGCCCGGUCGGCGCUUGCCGACACAUCAAUCUUUUUUCCAGGUUGACCUCGGAUCAGGUAGGGAUACCCGCUGAACUUAAGCAUAUCAAUAAGCGGAGGA